GGCUCUUCUGUAGGUAGUGAGUUAUCUCAACUGGUGGUUCACAGUCAGUGACAAAUCAAACUCCUUGUUCUACUUUCCCUCCUUCUCACUACUGCACUUCACUAGUCUUAA
rnacentral:Y_RNA from 1 species